GCCGGAGUGGUCCGAAUCAGGUAAGGAGCCUGACUUAGGAUCAGGUGAUGCAAACCCUGCAUCUUGCGGGUUCAAAUCCCGCCUCCGGCG
rnacentral:tRNA from 1 species